UCAAGACCUUUUCUUUCUUUCAUUUGGUGAAAUGAACUGAACUUUAUCUACAUUGUUUAUUUGGAAGAAAAUUGUACCUUUUGUUUAAACUCAUCCAUUUUUUUUGUAUGUGCUUUUCACCUUGAUUGUUUCGCUCAUUAAAAACCCGAACAAAGAGUGGAAUCCCAGUCUGGUCAAGUCCUCAAGUGUGGAAACCCAUGACGUUAAAAUACACUUGUAAGAACUACAUGGUGCCAGACCACCCCGGCCUCUUUGCCGGCCACGUCUGGCCCAUGUACUUGAAACACAAGAACAUCAUGGUGAGU